rnacentral:rRNA from 1 species
CCUACGGGAGACAGCAGUGGGGAAUAUUGCACAAUGGGGGGAACCCUGAUGCAGCGACGCCGCGUGGGUGAGGAAGUACUUCGGUAUGUAAAGCCCUAUCAGCAGGGAAGAAAAUGACGGUACCUGACUACGAAGCCCCGGCUAACUACGUGCCAGCAGCCGCGGUAAUACGUAGGGCGCAAGCGUUAUCCGGAUUUACUGGGUGUAAAGGGGGCGUAGACGGCGUGCCAAGUCUGAUGUGAAAGGCCGGGGCUCAACCCCGGGACGGCAUUGGAAACUGGCAGGCUGGAGUGGGGGAGGGGCAAGCGGAAUUCCUGGUGUAGCGGUGAAAUGCGUAGAUAUUAGGAGGAACACCGGUGGCGAAGGCGGCUUGCUGGACGGUAACUGACGUUGAGGCUCGAAAGCGUGGGGAGCAAACAGGAUUAGAUACCCGAGUAGUC